GGGCUGGGGCUCAGUGGUAGAGCGCUCGCCUAGCACAUGUGUGGCCUGGGUUCGAUCCUCAGCACCACA
rnacentral:tRNA from 1 species